rnacentral:lncRNA from 1 species
GUGGCUACAUCAAACCUAGAUAAUUUGUUUAGCACAUAAUUAAAUCUAAGAAAUUCAUACAAAUUAUAAUAAAAAAUAUAAUGAGGAAAGCAAGAAAAAAUAACCGAGUGUGAACAAGACAAUUUUAUGAUUUUAUGAAUGAAUGUUAUAUGAGUGAAUGAUAUAAACUAAAUCUAACGUGGUUGGAUGCGAUAAAAUUGGAGAAUGCAAAUAAUCAAAUGAGAAGGCCUAGGGAUUGAUUUCACCUAACUCUCAAUUAUGAUUCAACGAAUUCCAAUUACUUCGAUUAAUUUUCCCCUAUUUAAAAGCAAGAACCCUAACGUAAUUCUAACCCCCUCUCUCGAGCACCGAUUAGAAAUUAACUCUAGACCCCAAUUCCAACAUCUCUAUUCGAAAUUGAAAAUCAUGAAUUUAUAAAAGACCCGAUUCUUUUGUGGAGUAAGCUUCAUAGAUUUAUACCUUCUCUCGAAACAUAUAAAUUCUAUGUUGUAUCAAUAUUAGAUCAUGCCUAAAUUUUCCUCUCUCGAGUGCCAAAUUUAGAGCAUCAAAUCAUCCAAUUGUUGAUCAAGUAAUCGAAAGCAUUAAAAUCAUGAUACAAUUAAAUACGUACGAGAAAAUUAAACUAAAUAAUUAUAGAAUUUCAUCAAACCAUAAUAUUGAGUGGCUACAUCAAACCUAGAUAAUUUGUUUAGCACAUAAUUAAAUCUAAGAAAUUCAUACAAAUUAUAAUAAAAAAUAUAAUGAGGAAAGCAAGAAAAAAUAACCGAGUGUGAACAAUUCUUCCCUCAAUAUUUUCCAAGCCUUUCACUUGAUUUCAUUCAAUUGUUUAAUGUUAUUGCCUCCAAAAUUAUGUCCAGCCAGCCACUUUCUGCCUUCUUCAGAUUCAGAAUUCAGCCCGCUGAAGCUCUUCAAUUUGUGUGUGUUUUCUGGCAGAAUCUCUUCCCAAUUUCCUCCUGUGUGUGGCCGGCUGUCAAUCCCAGAUUCUCCUCCUCCAAUUCAGUAUUUUUCGACCCUCAAUCUCUGUAAUUCUCCCAUGUACUCUGCCGGUUCCAAUCUCGUACGUGGCUGACUCCCACAGAUUUUUUCUUGUGCGGCUCUCCCUUAAUUUAGGUCUUCAAUUGUGUAUUUAUAGUGUUUUGGAAUUUAGGGAACAACAGGUUACUA